rnacentral:rRNA from 1 species
UACGAAGGGGGCUAGCGUUGCUCGGAAUUACUGGGCGUAAAGCGCACGUAGGCGGAUUGCUAAGUCAGGGGUGAAAUCCUGGGAGCUCAACUCCAGAACUGCCUUUGAUACUGGCGACCUUGAGUCCGGGGAGAGGUGAGUGGAACUGCGAGUGUAGAGGUGAAAUUCGUAGAUAUUCGCAAGAACACCAGUGGCGAAGGCGGCUCACUGGCCCGGUACUGACGCUGAGGCACGAAAGCGUGGGGAGCAAACAGGGAAUUAGAUGACCCCUGAGU